rnacentral:misc_RNA from 1 species
UUGGCUACGCGAGCGCAUGAGUUGUGCUGGACCUGUGACUGCCGGGAGGACCCCCGCCGUUGUGCGGCUGACUGUCGGCGCCUGUGUCUUUUCAAUCCGUGGCUAAUGAGCCUGACCCUAUGAUGAGUGCUUGCGUGCUGCUACCAGGAAGCUGGAAGUUGCAUUCGCUAUAUGUCGCCUUCGUUGCGUGCGCCCUUAGGGUGUUGCAUGUCGACUUGGAAACAUUCAUGUCGUUGCCUCGUGUUGCUAGCCACCUAGGCUGGCAUCAUCAAGGCCACCUCAUGUUUGCUUUUGGUCAUGGAUGUGGCUUACACAAAAGGCCGUUGGUGCUUUGAUGCCUCGUGCCUAGCAAAGAUUGUCCGACCGGAAACAAUGACAGUUGGCCCGGCUGAUGCCCUGUGCGGACGUCGGUGCCCGCUCGUCAAGGAGGACGUGCUACCUGGUUGAUCCUGCCAGUAGUCAUAUGCUUGUCU